GUAGACUGCCCAGCUGUGGCUAUCAAAGAUGAAGAGCUGAUGAAAACGAAGUCACUGGCUGUUUUGUUAUGGCACUGCCAUGUCUGGAAAUUGUAACGGGCAUUAUACCCACUUUGGCUCUUUGCCCCUCAGAAAGAGGGAGGAGAAGCAUUCUGAUUUGCAUUUGGAUUGUCUGCACUGAAGAAAACUGUUAUAUGU